rnacentral:rRNA from 1 species
AUUGGCGCCAAAUGCAAAGUAGCUUGGGAAAAAUUUUGCCGACCGGUGGACAAGGGUGGGCUUGGCAUCCUGGACCUCUCUCAUUUCAGCACAGCCCUGCGGAUGAGAUGGCUCUGGCUCUCCUGGAAGCAACCGCGGCGGCCAUGGAUGAACUUUCCUGUCUCGUGCGAUCAUGAGGACAGGACGCUUUUCGCAGCAGCCACCUCGGUUCAGUUGGGCAAUGGAAAAGCUGCCAGGUUCUGGACAAGCUCCUGGCUCGGGUCUAUGACAUUAUGCAAAGAAUUUCCAAACCUCUUCCAACAUGCACGAGGAAAGAACAGGACGGUAGAGGAAGCCCUAGCAAAUGACAGAUGGAUUCAUGAUUUGCAGCACGGAAACACAGAAAAUAUUGUUGCCGAGUUCUUGCAACAGUGGUGCAAGAUUCGGAGGGCUCACAUUACUCUCUCCUCGAACGAGGACACAAUCACCGGGUGGCCGGCGGUGGCAGCUCUUACACAGCCAGCGCCGCUUACAAGUUUCAAACCAACGGAGCCCCGAUGUCAGGAAUCAAAGUGGCAAUAUGGAAGGCCUGGGCCCCUGGAACUGUAA